rnacentral:rRNA from 1 species
UGAGGAAUAUUGGGUCAAUGGACGCAAGUCUGAACCAGCCAUGCCGCGUGAAGGAAUAAGGCCCUAUGGGUCGUAAACUUCUUUUGUAUGUGAGCAAUAAGGUCCACGUGUGGUCCGAUGAGAGUAGCAUACGAAUAAGCAUCGGCUAACUCCGUGCCAGCAGCCGCGGUAAUACGGAGGAUGCAAGCGUUAUCCGGAUUCAUUGGGUUUAAAGGGUGCGUAGGCGGCUUGGUAAGUCAGCGGUGAAAUUCCAGUGCUCAACAUUGGCCGUGCCGUUGAUACUGCUGGGCUUGAAUGCGGAUGCCGUGGGAGGAAUGUGUGGUGUAGCGGUGAAAUGCAUAGAUAUCACACAGAAC